rnacentral:lncRNA from 1 species
ACUGCCAGGCGAAUUUAUUAAGCCUAAUUAAUAUGUCAUUAAUAUGUGUGGAUUACUAUAGCAAUUAUGACUAAUCAUGGACUAAUUAGGUUUAAAAGAUUGAUGUCGUGAUUUACAACUAAACUGUGCAAUUAGUUUUUUUAUCUAUAUUUAAUGCUUCAUACAUGUGUGUAAAGAUUCGAUGGGAUAGAUGAAAAUUUUUAAAGUGGGAAACUCAGACCUUGUUUAGAUCUAAAAACUUUUUGGAUUUGGGUACUAUAGCACUUCGUUUAUAUUUAGUAAUUAUUGUCUAACCAUAAACUAACUAGGGUCAAAAAAUUCGUCUCGUAAACUACGUAUAAAAAUGUGUUUUAGCUACAUCUGAAUCCUAUAUGAAUGGAGUACGAACGUAUCAAUUCAAGGAAAAAGUUUACUUUUCCUUUCUCAAUUUUUACUAAAGUUCGCUUUCUCUCCCUCGACUCCAAAACCAAACAAACCACCUCCCUUAACUUUUGAAACGGUGUAUUUUACCUCCUUAAAGCGGUUUCGAAGACGGUUUUGCUAUAGUGAAGGGUGGUUUCGCUACCGUGACAGUAGUUUUUUCUUUUUCUUUUUUUCAUUAUUUUGGCUGAAUUUUUAAAAAAUCAUAAUCAAUCACAAAAAAAUCAUAAAAUAAAAAAUCCAAUUUUUUAGACUCUACAUAAGUAGGUCUACACAGUAAAUAUAUAAUAUGGUAUGCUUUAGUACAAAAUUUUUGCUAUAAAGGUUUUGUCUUUUUCUUUUUUUAUUUAUUUUGUUGAAUAUUUGAAAAAUCAUAGUAAAUCAUAGAAAAAUCAUUAAAUAGAAAAUCUAAUUUUGUUGGACUCUACAUGAGUAUGUAUACACAAUGAACAUAUAAUAUGGGUAUGCUUUAGUCCGACAAAAUAAUUAUAGAAGUUGCAACUAUGAAUUAUUUUAAUUAAUUACAGAAGCAUAGAUCUAAAGUUACAAAAAAAAUUUGUACUAAAGUAUACCAUAUUAUUAUUUUACUGUGUAGAUAUGCUCAUGUGGAGUCUAAAAAAUUAGAGUUUUCAUUUUAUGAUUUUUCUGUAAUUUACUAUGAUUUUUCAAAUAUUUAGCCAAAAUAAAUAAAAAAACAAAAAAACAAAAUCUUUAUAGCAAAAAAAUUAUAUUAAAAACAUACCAUAUUAUAUGUUCAUUGUGUAGACCUACUUAUGUGGAGUACAACAAAAUUGUAUUUUCUAUUUUAUGAUUUUUUUGUGAUUUACUAUAUUUUUUAAAAAUUCAGCCAAGAUAAUCAAAAAAGAAAAAGACAAAACCACCAUCACUAUAGCAAAAACACCAUUCACUGUAGCAAAACCGUCUUGGAGGUAAAGGGAUGUUUGGUUUGGGGUAUUAAAGUUUAACAGUUACUAUAACAUUUUUGUCUUAUUUGAUAAUUAUUAUCCAAUCAUAGACUAAUUAGGCUUAAAAGAUUCGUCUCUCAAGUUACUCUUUAACUGUGUUUUUAGUUUCGUAAUUAGUCUCUAUUUGUUACUCCAUACAUAUGUCCAAAUAUUCGAUGUGACGGAUGAUAAACUUUAAAAGGGCAAACCAAACAAGGCCUCAAAUGCACGGUUUGAAAAGUUAAAGGAGAUGAUUUGUCCGGUUUUAAAGUUGAGAGAGAAAAAAUAGAUUUUUGGUGGAGGAAAAGUAGAGUUUUUCCUCAAUUCAAUUGCCAUCACAAUAUAUAUGGGCGGACCUGGGCCGCGGUCGUUGGCCCAAUAACCUUACAUACCGAUUGUGAUUUUUAGCCCGAUAGAGGAAGCCCAACGCCAAAACCUAGCAUCCUCACUCCUCAGCACACACCGACCGUCUCUGUCCGUCUCCCUGCCCAGCAGACGGACGCCGCACGAGCACGCGCCUGCACACUCCGCAGUCCCGCACGGCCGCACGGGAGGAGGCGAGGAGAUGUAACGCACCCGUGGCCCUUGCCCAUCGCCGGCAAGGACGUGAGACGCGAACGGUAGACAAGAGAGAGAUUUCGUGACGAGGACGCCGCCGGGUAAACCCCCG